rnacentral:rRNA from 1 species
AGUUUGAUCCUGGCUCAGAGUGAACGCUGGCGGCAGGCCUAAUACAUGCAAGUCGAACGGCAGCACAGCAGAGCUUGCUCUGUGGGUGGCGAGUGGCGGACGGGUGAGGAAUACAUGGGAAUCUGCCCAGUCGUGGGGAUAACGUAGGGAAACUUACGCUAAUACCGCAUGCGCCCUUCGGGGGAAAGCCGGGGACCUUCGGGCCUGGCGCGAUUGGAUGAGCCCAUGUCGGAUUAGCUAGUUGGCGGGGUAAUGGCCCACCAAGGCGACGAUCCGUAGCUGGUCUGAGAGGAUGAUCAGCCACACUGGAACUGAGACACGGUCCAGACUCCUACGGGAGGCAGCAGUAGGGAAUAUUGGACAAUGGGCGCAAGCCUGAUCCAGCCAUGCCGCGUGAGUGAAGAAGGCCCUCGGGUUGUAAAGCUCUUUUGUCCGGAAAGAAAAGCGCCGGGUUAAUACCCUGGUGUCCUGACGGUACCGGAAGAAUAAGCACCGGCUAACUUCGUG